rnacentral:rRNA from 1 species
GCAGCAGCCGCGGUAAUACGGAGGGUGCAAGCGUUAUCCGGAUUUACUGGGUUUAAAGGGUGUGUAGGCGGGCAUUUAAGUCUGGGGUGAAAUCUCCGAGCUCAACUCGGAAACUGCCUUGGAUACUAUUUGUCUUGAAUUAUGUUGAGGUAGGCGGAAUAUAACAUGUAGCGGUGAAAUGCAUAGAUAUGUUAUAGAACACCGAUUGCGAAGGCAGCUUACUAAACAUAUAUUGACGCUGAGGCACGAAAGCGUGGGGAUCAAACAGGAUUAGAUACCCCGGUAGUCCCUGUCUCUUAUAA